rnacentral:rRNA from 1 species
CAAUAGCGUAUAUUAACGUUGUUGCAGUUAAAAAGCUCGUAGUUGGAUUUCUGGAGGGAGCGUCGGCCCGUAUUUACGAGUGCGUGACGUCUCUGUCCAUCCUUGCGGGAAGGCACGGCAUUGAUUUGUUGUGUCGGAUCGCAUCAUUUACUGUGAAAAAAUUAGAGUGUUCAAAGCAGGCUUUCGCUUGAAUACAUUAGCAUGGAAUAAUAAGAUAGGACUGUGGUGCUAUUUUGUUGGUUGAGCCUAAAGUAAUGAUUAAUAGGGAUAGUUGGGGGCACCUGUAUUGCGUUGUCAGAGGUGAAAUUCUUGGAUUUACGCAAGACAAACAGCUGCGAAAGCGUCUGCCAAGGAUGUUUUCAUUAA